GAAAGUAAGCAAGGGCAGACGGUGGAUGCCUUGGCUCUCGGAGGCGACGAAGGACGUGAUAAGCUGCGAAAAGCUCGGGGGAGGCGCAAAUAGCCCUUGAUCCCGGGAUAUCCGAAUGGGGCAACCCGGCAGGCUGAAGGCCUGCCAUCCCGUAAGGGAGGCGAACGUGGGGAACUGAAACAUCUAAGUACCCAUAGGAGGAGAAAAUAAACAAUGAUUCCGUAAGUAGUGGCGAGCGAACACGGAAGAGCCCAAACCCGUGCCGUCUAGGCGACACGGGGGUUGUAGGACCACGACGUGGCAAGAUAGAGUCAAGUGGAACGCCUUGGAAAAGGCGACCGUAGAGGGUGAUAGUCCCGUACACGACUGACGAUUGAAGCCUAGUGGCAUCCUGAGUAGCGCGGGGCACGAGAAAUCUUGCGUGAAACUGCGGGGCCCAUCCCGUAAGGCUAAAUACUCCCGAGAGACCGAUAGCGAACCAGUACCGUGAGGGAAAGGUGAAAAGAACCCCGAGCAGGGGAGUGAAAUAGACCCUGAACCCGUCUGCCUACAAGCGGUCGGAGCAUCGUCAAGAUGUGACGGCGUGCCUUUUGCAUAAUGAACCUACGAGUUACCUUCCCCGGCAAGGUUAAGUACCUAAGGUACGGAGCCGAAGCGAAAGCGAGUCUGAAGAGGGCGGCCAGUCGGGGGGGGUAGACGCGAAACCGAGUGAUCUACCCUUGGCCAGGUUGAAGGUUGGGUAACACCAACUGGAGGACCGGAUGGGUAAGCGUUGAAAAGCUUUCCAAUGAGCUGAGGGUAGGGGUGAAAGGCUAAUCAAACUCGGAGAUAGCUCGUACUCCCCGAAAUGCAUUUAGGUGCAGCCUCUUUAUAGUAUAUCGUGAGGUAGAGCGACUGAUUGGAUGCGAGGGCUUCACCGCCUAUCAAGUCCAGAUAAACUCCGAAUGCGCGAUAUAUAUUUAAAGGGAGUGAGGGCGCGGGUGCUAAGGUCCGUGUCCGAGAGGAGAAGAAUCCAGACCACCGGCUAAGGCCCCCAAAUGAUCGUUGAGUUGAACUAACGAGGUCGGAUCGCAGAGACAGCUAGGAUGUUGGCUUGGAAGCAGCCAUUCAUUUAAAGAGUGCGUAACAGCUCACUAGUCGAGCGAUCUGGCGUGGAUAAUAAUCGGGCAUAAACGAUCUGCCGAAGCCGUGGAUGUCGUAAGACAUGGUAGGGGAGCAUUCCAUGGGCGUCGAAGAUGAGGGAUGACCCUUGUUGGAGCGCAUGGAAAAGCAAAUGUAGGUAUGAGUAACGAUAAGGGGGGCGAGAAACCCCCCCGCCGAAAGACCAAGGUUUCCUGAUCAACGCUAAUCGGAUCAGGGUGAGUCGGGACCUAAGGCAAAGCCGAACGGCGCCGCCGAUGGAAGAAUGGGUUAAUAUUCCCAUACUGCCUCAUGGAGUGACGUGGAGACGGAGAAGUGACAGUCCUGCCGGCUGACGGAAUAGCCGGUUGAAGGGUGUAGAUAUUGAUUCCCGUAGGCAAAUCCGCGGGGAGAGUCGAACCUGAGAGUAUACGGAGCGCUUGCGCAACGUAAUAUGGACGUAACCAUGCUCCCGAGAAAAUCCGCUAAACUUAUCCAUGCGGCACCCGUACCGUAAACGGACACACGUGGUCGGGUUGAGAAUACUGAGGCGCUCGAGUGACUCACGGUUAAGGAACUAGGCAAAUUGACCCUGUAACUUCGGGAUAAAGGGUCCUCGUCGUAAGGCGAGGCGCAGAGAAUAGGUCCAGGCAACUGUUUAACAAAAACACAUGGCUGUGCUAAAUGGAAACAUGACGUAUACAGCCUGACACCUGCCCGGUGCUGGAAGGUUAAGAGGAGAUGUCAUCGCAAGAGAAGCGUUGAAUUGAAGCCCCAGUAAACGGCGGCCGUAACUAUAACGGUCCUAAGGUAGCGAAAUUCCUUGUC
rnacentral:rRNA from 1 species